CAGUGAAAUUGAACUCGCUGUGAAGAUGCAGUGUACCCGCGGCAAGACGGAAAGACCCCGUGAACCUUUACUAUAGCUUGACACUGAACAUUGAGCCUUGAUGUGUAGGAUAGGUGGGAGGCUUUGAAGCGUGGACGCCAGUCUGCGUGGAGCCGACCUUGAAAUACCACCCUUUAAUGUUUGAUGUUCUAACGUUGGCCCCUUACCGGGGUUGCGGACAGUGUCUGGUGGGUAGUUUGACUGGGGCGGUCUCCUCCCAAAGCGUAACGGAGGAGCACGAAGGUUAGCUAAUCCUGGUCGGACAUCAGG
rnacentral:rRNA from 1 species